GGAAGUGACUAGGGGACUGUGGGACAUUUGUCAGCCUGUUGAUAUCUAGGGUUAAUUUUGCUGACCUGUGUGGGGUUGCUGGGGUUCCCUUCCUUCACCCAUCUUCAUUCAUGUCCUUAAUAAGGAUGUAAAAAUGAAUUGUCUCAUGAAGGAACAUCAUCCUUUGGCCAAAAAUAUGGGACUAGCAUUCCCUUGCUAAAGCUUCCAAAUAAGCCCUCAAGUCUAUUUGUUAAGAUUCUACAGAAGCCACUAACAGGCUUUGCUUUCGUAAGUGCCUAAUUUG
rnacentral:sRNA from 1 species